AGUGAAGCGAAUAGCGCGAAUAGUCGACGAAUAGUGCGAAUAGUCCGCGAAUAGUCGACGAAUAGUGCGAAUAGUCCGCGAAUAGUCGACGAAUAGUACGAAUAGUCCGCGAAUAGUCGACGAAUAGUGCGAAUAGUCCGCGAAUAGUCCGCGAAUAGUCGACGAAUAGUCGACGAAUAGUGCGAAUAGUCCGCGAAUAGUCGACGAAUAGUGCGA